GUUUUUCGCUCUAAGAUGAGCCCGCGUAAGAUUAGCUAGUUGGUGAGGUAAUGGCUCACCAAGGCGACGAUCUUUAGCUGGUCUGAGAGGAUGAUCAGCCACACUGGAACUGAGACACGGUCCAGACUCCUACGGGAGGCAGCAGUAGGGAAUAUUGCACAAUGGAGGAAACUCUGAUGCAGCGACGCCGCGUGAGCGAUGAAGGCCUUCGGGUUGUAAAGCUCUGUCGCAUGGGAAUAAGACAGUG
rnacentral:rRNA from 1 species